UACUAAGUUUCAACAACGGAUCUCUUGGNUCUCGCAUCGAUGAAGAACGCAGCGAAAUGCGAUAAGUAAUGUGAAUUGCAGAAUUCAGUGAAUCAUCGAAUCUUU
rnacentral:rRNA from 1 species